CAGAGGGUGCGAGCGUUAAUCGGAAUUACUGGGCGUAAAGCGCGCGUAGGCGGCUUUGCAAGUCGGGUGUGAAAUCCCCAGGCUUAACCUGGGAACUGCAUUCGAGACUGCAUUGCUAGAGUAUGGGAGAAGGAAGUGGAAUUUCCGGUGUAGCGGUGAAAUGCGUAGAUAUCGGAAGGAACAUCAGUGGCGAAAGCGACUUCCUGGACCAAUACUGACGCUCAUGUGCGAAAGCGUGGGGAGCAAACAGGAUUAGAUACCCUGGUAGUCCACGCCAUAAACGAUGAGAACUGGAUGUCGGGAGGGUCUGCCUCUCGGUGUCGUAGCUAACGCGUUAAGUUCUCCGCCUGGGGAGUACGGCCGCAAGGUUG
rnacentral:rRNA from 1 species